rnacentral:rRNA from 1 species
UACAGAGGUGGCAAGCGUUGUUCGGAAUUAUUGGGCGUAAAGGGCUCGUAGGCGGUUUGUCGCGUCGGGAGUGAAAACACCGGGCUUAACUCGGUGCUUGCUUUCGAUACGGGCAGACUAGAGGUAUGCAGGGGAGAACGGAAUUCCUGGUGUAGCGGUGAAAUGCGCAGAUAUCAGGAGGAACACCGGUGGCGAAGGCGGUUCUCUGGGCAUUACCUGACGCUGAGGAGCGAAAGUGUGGGGAGCGAACAGG